GGGUGCCCAGAGCGGAUCUUGACUGACCAGGGGCCAGCAUUUGAAGCUGACUUGACCCAGCAGCUGUGUACCCUGUAUGGGUGUCGCAAGUGUUCGGCAGGCAUGCCCGCUUACCAGUGGACCAGUUGGCCGGGCUGGAGAGGCCAGAGCAACGAGGUCCCUUGCAGGACUGGGUCCAGCAGCACCACGCCCGUCUCCAGAAUGCCUACCAGCUGGUGAAAGAGCGAAAUCAACACCGACAACAACAGGACCAGGGACGACGCAACCAGGGCCCUAAGGCCCAGCCAUUAUUGCCUGGGGAGAGGGUCUUUGUUCGAGACUUCCGCCGCCGGGCCCGAGGGAAGCUGGGGUACCAUUGGGACCCACGACCAUAUGUGGUCCGGAGCCAGCCUACGAGGGACCGCCCUGUGUACGUUAUCCGACCAGAAGGAAGGGAGGGACCUCUGCGCACCCUGCACCAAAACAACUUGUGUGUGCAGCCCAGCAGCUGGCGGAGUGGGGCUCAUGGGGGCGUAGGUGAAUUGGCAGGGAGCCAGCCCACAGUACCGCC
ensembl:lncRNA